CAAUAGCGUAUAUUAAAGUUGUUGCAGUUAAAAAGCUCGUAGUUGGAUUUCUGGUAGGAGCGACCGUGCCGAACUUGAUUGUUCGAGUAUUGUGUUGUCUUCAGCCAUCCUCGUGGAGAACUUUUCUAACAUUAACUUGUUGGGAUUGGGACCCGCGUCGUUUACUGUGAAAAAAUUAGAGUGUUUAAAGCAGGCAUUAGCUUGAAUACAUUAGCAUGGAAUAAUAAGAUGGGACUUUGGUACUAUUUUGUUGGUUUGCAUACCAAAUUAAUGAUCAACAGGAACAGUUUGAGGAUAUUCGUAUGAACAUGUCAGAGGUGAAAUUCUUGGAUUUUGAUCAGACGAACUACUGCGAAAGCAUUUAUCAAGGAUGUUUUCAUUAA
rnacentral:rRNA from 1 species